rnacentral:rRNA from 1 species
GACGAACGCUGGCGGCGUGCUUAACACAUGCAAGUCGAACGGAAAGGCCCUGCUUUUGUGGGGUGCUCGAGUGGCGAACGGGUGAGUAACACGUGAGUAACCUGCCCUUGACUUUGGGAUAACUUCAGGAAACUGGGGCUAAUACCGGAUAGGAGCUCCUGCUGCAUGGUGGGGGUUGGAAAGUUUCGGCGGUUGGGGAUGGACUCGCGGCUUAUCAGCUUGUUGGUGGGGUAGUGGCUUACCAAGGCUUUGACGGGUAGCCGGCCUGAGAGGGUGACCGGCCACAUUGGGACUGAGAUACGGCCCAGACUCCUACGGGGGGCAGCGGUGGCGAAUAUUGCACAAUGGGCGGAAGCCUGAUGCAGCAACGCCGCGUGCGGGAUGACGGCCUUCGGGUUGUAAACCGCUUUCGCCUGUGACGAAGCGUGAGUGACGGUAAUGGGUAAAGAAGCACCGGCUAACUACGUG